GCAGUCUCCGCGGCGAUGCGGCCCCCAGCACCAGGGCAUCUCACGGGGCGGAGAGGGGGAGACCUUCGGCCAGUCGUCCUCCCUGCCGGAUGC